AUGAAGGUGUUUGUAGGUGGCCUGGCGUGGGAGACGAGCAAGGAGGGCGUGCGCGUCCACUUCGAGCACUUCAGCGAGAUCCUCGAGGCCGUCGUCAUCGCCGACAAGGGCACCGGCAGAUCCAAGGGCAGCAAAUUCUUAAUUGAUGCUAUGCCUAAAUGGAUGCUUGGUAAGUUAUGUUCUGGAGGCGGAGGCGGCCAUCAAGACAUGGUGAAUGGCGUCCAGAGGGCCAACUGCAACCUAGCUCGCCUACCUUGGGAUCCAGAGGUCCAAGGCACCACAACCAACUGCCUCUGCAUCCAUAUUCUGGGUGGUGUAGCAAGCAAGCAAGAAUUGGAGAGUCUUCGGUGCAUGCUUGGAGAAGAGGCUAAGAUGAGAGGCUUCAAUCUGGAGAUGACAAGGAUAGUCACCUGGUGCAACUAA
rnacentral:rRNA from 1 species